rnacentral:rRNA from 1 species
AUUGAACGCUGGCGGCAUGCCUUACACAUGCAAGUCGAACGGUAACGCGGGGCAACCUGGCGACGAGUGGCGAACGGGUGAGUAAUGCAUCGGAACGUGCCUGGUAGUGGGGAUAACUGCUCGAAAGAGCAGCUAAUACCGCAUACGACCUGAGGGUGAAAGGGGGGGAUCGCAAGACCUCUCGCUAUCAGAGCGGCCGAUGUCGGAUUAGCUAGUUGGUGGGGUAAAGGCCCACCAAGGCGACGAUCCGUAGCUGGUCUGAGAGGACGACCAGCCACACUGGGACUGCGACACGGCCCAGACUCCUACGGGAGGCAGCAGUGGGGAAUUUUGGACAAUGGACGCAAGUCUGAUCCAGCCAUGCCGCGUGCGGGAAGAAGGCCUUCGGGUUGUAAACCGCUUUUGUCAGGGAAGAAAUCUUCUGAGUUAAUACCUCGGGAGGAUGACGGUACCUGAAGAAUAAGCACCGGCUAACUACGUGCCAGCCGCCGCCGUAACAC